rnacentral:rRNA from 1 species
UACGUAGGGCGCAAGCGUUGUCCGGAAUUAUUGGGCGUAAAGAGCUCGUAGGCGGCCUGUUGCGUCCGCUGUGAAAUCCCGGGGCUCAACCCCGGGCCUGCAGUGGAUACGGGCUGGCUGGAGGCAGGCAGGGGAGAACGGAAUUCCUGGUGUAGCGGUGAAAUGCGCAGAUAUCAGGAGGAACACCGGUGGCGAAGGCGGUUCUCUGGGCCUGUUCUGACGCUGAGGAGCGAAAGCGUGGGGAGCGAACAGA